ACGCUGGCGGCACGCCUAACACAUGCAAGUCGAACGAAGUAGCAAUACUUAGUGGCAGACGGGUGAGUAACAUGUAGGUAUCUGCCCUAUGGCCUGGAAUAACACGAGGAAACUUGCGCUAAUACCGGAUAAGUCUUUACGGAGAAAGCUUUAUGCACCAUUGGAUGAGCCUGCACUUGAUUAGUUUGUUGGUGGGGUAAUGGCCUACCAAGACUGUGAUCAAUAGCUGAUUUGAGAGGAUGAUCAGCCACAUUGGGACUGAGACACGGCCCAAACUCCUACGGGAGGCAGCAGUGGGGAAUCUUGCACAAUGGAGGAAACUCUGAUGCAGCGAUGCCGCGUGAGUGAAGAAGGCCUUUGGGUUGUAAAGCUCUUUCGUCGGGGAAGAAAAUGACUGUACCCGAAUAAGAAGGUCCGGCUAACUUCGUGCCAGCAGCCGCGGUAAUACGAAGGGACCUAGCGUAGUUCGGAAUUACUGGGCUUAAAGAGUUCGUAGGUGGUUGAAAAAGUUGGUGGUGAAAUCCCAGAGCUUAACUCUGGAACUGCCAUCAAAACUUUUCAGCUAGAGUAUGAUAGAGGAAAGCAGAAUUUCUAGUGUAGAGGUGAAAUUCGUAGAUAUUAGAAAGAAUACCAAUUGCGAAGGCAGCUUUCUGGAUCAUUACUGACACUGAGGAACGAAAGCAUGGGUAGCGAAGAGGAUUAGAUACCCUCGUAGUCCAUGCCGUAAACGAUGUGUGUUAGACGUUGGAAAUUUAUUUUCAGUGUCGCAGCGAAAGCGAUAAACACACCGCCUGGGGAGUACGACCGCAAGGUUAAAACUCAAAUGAAUUGACGGGGACCCGCACAAGUAGUGGAGCAUGUGGUUUAAUUCGAAGAUACGCGCAGAACCUUACCAACACUUGACAUGUUCGUCGCGACUUUAAGAGAUUAAAGUUUUCGGUUCGGCCGGACGAAACACAGGUGCUGCAUGGCUGUCGUCAGCUCGUGUCGUGAGAUGUUGGGUUAAGUCCCGCAACGAGCGCAACCCUCACUUUUAGUUGCCAUCAUUAAGUUGGGCACUCUGAAAGAACUGCCAGUGAUAAGCUGGAGGAAGGUGGGGAUGACGUCAAGUCCUCAUGGCCCUUACGUGUUGGGCUACACACGUGCUACAAUGGUAUCUACAACAGGAAGCAAGACGGCGACGUUUAGCAAAUCCUUAAAAGAUACCUCAGUUCGGAUUGCACUCUGCAACUCGAGUGCAUGAAGCUGGAAUUACUAGUAAUCGUGGAUCAGCGUGCCACGGUGAAUGCGUUCCCGGGUCUUGUACACACCGCCCGUCACACCAUGGGAGUUGGUUCUACCUUAAGGCAAGGUUUCAAACCCUUGACCACGGUAUAGUCAGCGACUG
rnacentral:rRNA from 1 species